GAUGAACGCUGACAGAAUGCUUAACACAUGCAAGUCGACUUGAAUUUGGGUUUUUAACUUCGGUUUGGGUGGCGGACGGGUGAGUAACGCGUAAAGAACUUGCCUCCCAGCUAGGGACAACAUUUGGAAACGAAUGCUAAUACCUAAUAUUAUGAUAAUAGGGCAUCCUAUAAUUAUGAAAGCUAUAAGCGCUGUGAGAGAGCUUUGCGUCCCAUUAGCUAGUUGGAGAGGUAACGUCUCACCAAGGCGAUGAUGGGUAGCCGGCCUGAGAGGGUGAUCGGCUACAAGGGGACUGAGACACGGCCCUUACUGCUUCGGGAGGCAGCAGUGGGGAAUAUUGGACAAUGGACCGAGAGUCUGAUCAAGCAAUUCUGUGUGCACGAUGAAGUUUUUCGGAAUGUAAAGUGCUUUCAGUUGGGAAGAAACAAAUGACGGUACCAACAGAAGAAGUGACGGCUAAAUACGUG
rnacentral:rRNA from 1 species